GCACUGCUGAAGAGUCCCACACUAGGACGAAACGGUCGCCCAGUGC
rnacentral:hammerhead_ribozyme from 1 species